rnacentral:rRNA from 1 species
UACGAGAGGUCCAAACGUUAUUCGGAAUCACUGGGCUUACAGAGUUCGUAGGCGGUCCAGAAAGUGGGGUGUGAAAGCCCUCGGCUUAACCGAGGAACUGCGCUCCAAACUACUGGGCUAGAGGAAGAUAGAGGUGAGCAGAACUGAUGGUGGAGCGGUGAAAUGCGUUGAUAUCAUCAGGAAUACCGGAGGCGAAGGCGGCUCACUGGGUCUUCUCUGACGCUGAGGUACGAAAGCUAGGGGAGCGAACGGG